UCAAUUCUCGAGUCUUAAACAGUUCGCAAACAAUUCGAUUUAUUUACGGGUCCGCAAGCCUACGUGCUCCUCCUUGACCUCUGCAUCAUCUUGUCCGGCGUGGUAACAAGAUUCGUGUCUUGUUAAGUUCCCAAGACAGAACUUCAACUUCCAAAAUUCACACAGAAUUUCACAGUUUUCCAAAGAUCCCCCACCUACCUAAUGACCAAAACGCCCUUAUGUCACACCACUCGACCGAACUGCUGCAACAUGUGAAGAGAAGGUCAAAACAAGGAAUAAAAAACCAAAGGGAAAGCCAUGACCCUACAAAUGAAAGCCUUUGGGCAAAACCCAGAGUUUCAUAACCCAGAAUGAAUGAAAGAGGCUUUAAACCAGAGAGAGAGAGAUAGGGAAGUUUCUGAGGGUGGUUGCCCUCUCUCUCUCUGUACACAAAAAAUCAAGCCGAUGAUUUCAUCUCACACAAAAUCAACAACAGCCCUUCGGGUGCGUGCGUCUGAUAUCAUCAGAUUCAUCUGGCUGGCUGUCUUUCUGAUCUCUGUUUGGAACUGGAAGUACAACCAUAUCUAUGGAGUAUAUAUAUAUAAGUACAUACAAACAUAUAGCUAGCUAGCUGCAUGCAUCUCUUUCUCUCUGUGUUGAGAGGAGAGAGAUUCUUGAUCAUGACCAGCUACUAUCACCAUCAUCAUCCCCAUCAAAACUCCACUCCUAAGAGGCUGUGAUGGUUACAUUUUCUGGGUUCAGAUCAGGCGUUGGGAUCCGACCCGUAUCGUGGCGGGGCAACCCGGAGGCCCGCGGAGAGAGGGUUUUUUCUCUCUCGUGUCAGGUAACUGCGUUUGCAGCCAUGGCGGUGUCGCUUUGUCGCCUGAUUUUCAUUCACAGAUCUGAGCCUCACCUUUGAUUCGGUAACAUUUGGGCACCGUUUCUUGGCGGGGCAACCCGGAGGCCUGCGGAGAGACAUUUCUCCCUCAGGUAACUGUGUUUGCAGCCAUGGCGGCGUCACUUUGUUGCCUGAUUUUCAUUCACAGAUCUGAGUCUCACCUUUGAUUCGGUAACAUUUGAGCACGGUUUGGAUUUUGAAAAUGAUAAUUAUGUAGUGUUUAUAAGUGUGUCUAGUAAGGUCAAACGUGUGCACGACUGGAAUUUUCCCGAUAAAUAUGAGGAAAUCCUCCGAGUGAGAACAUGGUGAGCUCGAUUCUCACUUAAGUUAUCUUUGAGUAAAGUUGAAUAGCUUAGGUUGUGGAUGGUUUGAACCCCUAGACCUCGCCUUAAGUUAAAUUUCCAUUAAACCGUUUCUUGGUGGGGCAACCCAGAGGCCUGCGGAGAGACAUUUCUCUCUCAGGUAACUGUGUUUGCAGCCACGGUGGUGUCACUUUGUCGCCUGAUUCCUAUGAUUCGGUAACAUUUGGGCAUGAUUUGGAUUUUGAAAUUGCUAAUUAUGCAGUGUAUACAAGUGUCUAGUGAGAUCAAACGUGUGCGCGACUUGAAUUUCUCCUUUAAAUUUGAGGAAAUGAAUUUGAGAGUAUGAGGCUAAUAAGUGGAGAGGAGUGUUUCUAUAAUUAGAUGGUGGUUGGUCAUCCUUAAUGAUCAGGUCAUAAAAACCGAUAUUUCAAAUAAACAAAAUCGACAGCCUUUUUUCUUCUUGAUAACUCAGGAUGUUCGGGUCACUAUUAGGCACCUUGGCGAUCGCCUGGGGACCGAGCCUACUGUCCACUAGUGGGGUCCCCAAAUAAAGCCUGGCAUGGACAAAUCCACAAGAGUUGGUAGCCCGGUUUCGAACCUGAGACCUUGGUAGGAAUCCUUUGUUUGUGUGGACAGUGGAGAUACAUAUCUAUGUGUGUGUCUGUGGUUGGACAUUGGUUUAUGACUAAGGGCCCGUUUGUUCCGUCUUACUUAUUAGAUUGUUCACUACUCUUUUUACCUUUUGUACUCUUUUUUGUAUCCAUCCAUCCAUUUGAAAAUAGCCACUCACUACCCUAUUUGAUUAUUCCCUCUUUCUUCCCUUUUAUGCUGUUGUUGAGAGGGUCUUGAUUCAUUGAUAUGUACCUGAACCUUGAAUAUGGAUAAUUUCCUCAAUUAUAAGAGGUUGCGAUGUUAUUAUUCUCAGUUCAUAUGUUGAGAAGAUGGACCCAUUUCAUGGCAGGGCAACUGAUGUUGCAGCUAUGGUGGGAAAACCCUUACCUUCUAUGAUAAAAAUACAGAUCCGAGCCUCACCUUUUCCAUCAACUUGUUGACGCAUUUCAUGGGAGCUUGUGAUUCUGAGGCAAUGAUAGAAAUAUAAUUUGCAUAUAAAAGCUCCUCAAACAACUCUGGAAAACUGUUUUGGAUCAAUGUCAUAGAUUUUGGGGGUCAGAGAUUUUGGGGUUGGUUCUGAUUCUGAUCGAUUAGUUAUUUGGGUAAGACUGACGUGUAUAUUCUUGGGACAAGUACAUUAAAACCUUUGCAUUUGAUCCGUAUCUCAAAUUAAACCCAGUGCCAACUCCCAAAGAGAAGGAGAGGGAGAAGUGUACUUGUUUUUAUCGUUGCCGGAGAAGUGUACCUGUUCGAUUUGGGAUUUGGGUUGCUUCAGAAACUGAACUCAGAAAAUGAUGCUAAUAAGCAGAGAGAAGGGUUGUUUCUGAGGGUGGUUGCCCCUCUCUGUGAAAAAGACAAUCUUGAUCAGAUCAUCAAGCCUAUGAUUUUAGUUCCAUCCAUAAAAUCAACAGCCCUUCAGUUCCAUUUAAGGGUGCGUGCGUUUGUCGUUUCCUUAUUCUUUUUUUGUUGCUGCUGCUAAUGAUGAUAUAUCAAUACAUAGAUAGACAGAUAGAUAGAGAGAGUAGUUUGAGAAAUUGAACUCAAAGAAUGAGGCUCCAGUGGUGAGAAGGGAUGUUUCUAAGAGUGGUUGCUCCUCACUGUAAUUUGAUGAUCAUUAUCCCUUAAUCAGAUCACCAAAGCCUGUGAUUUUAUUCGGAAAAUAGCCCUUUGCGUAUUUGUACACAUACAUGUUGAGUGUGCACAAGCAAUUUUUGACGGAGGGAGUAUGUUGGCUGUGAUGAUAUAUCUCUCGAGUUCAUGUGUUGAGGAAUUGAAACCCAGUUUUUGGCAAGGUAAACGCGGAGGGCCUGCGGGGAGACCAUAGAACUGAUGGCCUCUCUCAAUUGCGGCAACCGUUGUUGCAGUCAUGGUGGGAACACGCCUUCCUCUUCCCCUAUUGAAAUACAGAUCUGAGCCUCACCUUUUCUCUUGUCACUUGUGUGUGUGUGUGUGUGUGUGUGAGAUCAUUAUCCCUUAAUCAGAUCACCAAAGCCUAUGAUUUUGUUAAAGCAUCCAACUCAAAACCAAUUGGCAAUGAGUGGAGAGGCAGCCCAGGCUCAUAUACUAGUUUUGGAGGAGAAAAUUAACCGAUGUGGGACAAUUUCCAACAGAUUUCAUUCAAAAAACAGCCCUUUGUGUGUUUGUACGCAUAUAUGGGGAGUGUGGACAAACAAUUGGUGACGGAGGGAGUAUAUUUUUACGUAGUAUAGGAGAGGCUGUGAUGAUAUAUCUCUCGAGGUUGUGUUGAGGAAUUGGAACCCAUUUUCUUGGCGAGGCAAACACAGAGGUCCUGUGGGAGAGAAUUGAUGGUUCUCUCUUCAAGUGGGGCAACUGUUGUUGCAGCCAUGGUGGGAACAUGAUUUCCUCUUCUCCUAUCAAAAUACAGAUCUGAGCCUCAAUUUUUCCUUCUCACUUACGUGUGUGUGUGUGUGGUAUUAAAGCCACAAGGCACAUAAGGUAUGUUUUGUUGGUUGGUUCAGCAUGAUAUUAAAUGCUUUUGAACACUCCAUUGGAACAAGGGGGUAGAGGAUUACUUUCUAACUGUUAGUUAAGCUGCAUCAAACACCCACUGGAACAGCUUGCACUAAAGAAAGCAAAGAGGCUGUGAUGAUAGCUUUCUUAGCUUAUUUCAGGAUUUGAGAACCCGAUCUGCUUCAUGGUGGGGUGAUCCGGGGGAUUUGUGGGAUAGAUCUGUUUGGUUUUUCUUUCAGACUUUCACUGGCAACUGUGGUUGCAGCCAUGAAGUUUGUCAUAUCUCACCCGAUCUUUGGCAAAUCUGAGCCUCAACCUUUCUUGCAAUAGUAAAUGUGUAUGCAUUUGUAUGUAGUUGAUUGACUGUAGGAAAUCUGGGUUUAAUCGCAUCUUGGGAUUUAUAUUUAAUAUGAUGGUUUUUAUCUUGCAGGAACAAGUUUGAGUUGGAGGUGUAAUGAUGAUUCACAUGCCAUUGGUUUGAUGUUUCACUUUUAUGUUUUUUGUAUUGUAGAGAUGAAGUAAUUGAGUCAUUGGCCAUUUUUGUUACCAAAUAGUCUGCUUCUUUUUUCUUUCAACAGAAAGUUGAUUUGUCUUGUGAUUCGUAAGGAGUUGAAGUGUGUGCUUGAACCAGAGAAGACCCUAAAGUAAGGGGGAAUUUUAGAGGCAAAAUGAUAACUAAAAUCAAGAACUCAGGUUCUCUCGUCAUCGGCUCACAAAUUGGGGGGAAAAAAGGAAGAAAAGAUUGCCAUUUUAUCCUUGAAGCAACAACGCCAAAUCAUCAUAUUUUGGCUUUACAAAAUUAAAUUAUGGCAGUAUCAUACACGCUCUUUAGAAUUGGAUGAUUUCCCCUGUUUUAGCUGGACCAAAUCUAUGUCCGGUGGUUGUUUCCAGUAUCUCCUCGUGUGAAGAAGAUUGCUUAAUCUAUUAAUGUUUGUGCUCAGAGCUUUAGCACUCUACGAUGAUAUGUAUGCUAUUCUGCCGUCUUCAUCUGUUUUUAUUUUGCUUUCCAGUCUAGGUGUUUCGAUGUUGAUUUCUUGGUGGUUGAUGUGGUUGUUCCAAGAUGAGGACUACAAUAAGCUUCAUCCUUCUGUGUGAGGAAAACUAUAUGAAAAUUAUGUAUGCGUUACAAUUCCCAUGA